UCCUAAUAACUUAUUAAUGAGAUCUAGAUGAAAAUCCCUGUCUGGGAUUCUUAACUACCUUGAGGGUCAGAGAUUCUUUUGAGAAUCAGAGGAAGGCAAUGAACUCCAAGCCUGGGAGGUAGGGGGAGCCAAAGAAGGCAGGAAGUACAUAUGUGCAGACAAAACUCUGCAUAGAAUCAGGCAGUCUAUGCCCAAACUUCAGAACCCUAGCGCUGCUUGAUUCCCUUCAGUUGCAGAUAUUGGUGGCUGGAACCAAGGGCCAGGCCCCAGAAAAGUUUCACAGAAGGGACAGACAUAGGGCCAAAUUGGACCCUCCGAUCCACACCGUGUUAUCUCUGAGAUGUGUGUCCAGAUUCAUAGCAUGACUUACCAAAAGCUUGAUGAUCUGACUCCUUCUUUACCUGCAGGCUCAUGCCCUGGCA